GUCCCUGUAGCGCAAUGGAUAGCGCGUUGGACUUCUAAUCCAGAGGCUGUGGGUUAAAAUCCCACCUGAGGUG
rnacentral:tRNA from 1 species